rnacentral:rRNA from 1 species
CCCUUAGAUGUCGUGGGCCGCACGCGCGCUACACUGAUGCAUUCAACGAGUUUUACCUCGGCCGAGAGGCCUGGGCAAUCUUUUAAACCUGCAUCGUGAUAGGGAUAGAUUAUUGCAAUUAUUAAUCUUGAACGAGGAAUUCCUAGUAAACGCAAAUCAUCAAUUUGCAUUGAUUACGUCCCUGCCCUUUGUACACACCGCCCGUCGCACCUACCGAUUGAAUGGUCCGGUGAAGCCUCGGGAUUGUGGCCAGUUCACUUUAUUGGGAGUUGGCUGCGAGAACUUGUCUAAACCUUAUCAUUUAGAGGAAGGUGAAGUCGUAACA